rnacentral:rRNA from 1 species
CAGCAGCCGCGGGAAUACGAACCGUGCGAACGUUACUCGGAAUCACUGGGCUUAAAGCGCGUGUAGGUGGAUGGGAACGUCGGUCGUUGAAAUCCCCCGGCUUAACCGGGGAAGUGGCGCCGAUACGCCCCGUCUCGAGGAACGUAGGGGGAGCUGGAACUUCCGGUGGAGCGGUGAAAUGCGUUGAGAUCGGAAGGAACGCCCGUGGUGAAAGCGAGCUCCUGGACGUUUUCUGACACUGAGACGCGAAAGCCAGGGGAGCGAACGGGAUUAGAUACCCCCGUAGUCCCUGUCUCUUAUA